rnacentral:tRNA from 1 species
GGGGUGGCUCAGUGACAGAGCAUCUGCUUGGCACCCAGAAGUCCCAGAUUUGAUCCCUGGCAUCUCCA